rnacentral:tRNA from 1 species
GGGGCCUUCGCUCUGCUCUGAGAGCGCCUGCUUUGCACGCUGGAGGUCAGAGUUUCGAUCCCUCUAGGUUCCA